UGGGUCCCACCCACUUUUCCCCUCCCACCGCGUGACCACGCCUCGUCCGUGACCGAGCGCCGCCGCGCGCUCGACCGCGCCGCGCCGGAGCACCUCGUCCACCGGAGCCGGUGCAGGAGGCUCGUCACGCCGGAGCAGGAGCUGCGACCGCGACCACGACCGCACCGCGCUGGAGCGUCUCGUCUGCGAACGCACCGCCAAGAUCCGCCACCGUGACCGCGCCGCCAAGAUCCGCGAACACGCCGGAACAGGAGCAGUUCCUCUCCCAUGGACGGCGGUGCGUCCCGUGGAAUCCCCGGAGGCGGGCUGCCUCCCCGUCCGGCGUUGGCUCCCACGCGACGUCGUGCAUUCAUCGCGCCGCAUCCCCGUCCUACCUCGGCUCCUGUCAACACCAACCUGUCUCGUACCCAAGAACGUCCAUCUCCCAGCGGCGGCGGCGGCAGGAUGCCUUCUCCCAGCGGCGGCGGCGGCGGCGGCUUACCUCCUCGGCUCUGCAACGACCCGCCUCGACUCGGCCCUCGCGCAUUGACCUUCAUGGAGCCUCACACCGGCACCUGGGACGCCAACAGCAGCACAUGGGACGCCGGCAGCACCACAUCAUCACCAGCACAAGCACAUGUCUAUGAGGUUGCCGACGACGACUUCAGCCAGAUUCAUUGGACGCCUGAGUACUAGGUGAGUUGUGCUGAUUUCAUUCCCAAGAUACAUGGACAAAGCAACAAGCAGCUAGGAGUAUCUAUCUUGAGAAAUGUUGCUGGUUUCUUAUUACUACUUUCAAUUCCUAUCUUACUUUUAUAUCAAUUUAGUUCUAUAGCAACAUAUGCUUGUUUCAGACUUUGAGCUGCCUGUACCUUUCAUGGUAGUUUCUUUUGAAAAUGAAGAUCCAAGAUUUUUUUGUUCUAUGGUAGUUUCUGCAACAGUCCAGGAUUACACUACUUUGGCACAUUUCAGGAUUACACUACUUUGCAUGCUGCACUUUUUAGUUUGUGAGACUGUUUAGUGGUAUAUCUUUUGUUGUUCAGUGCAGGCAUACAUUGUUUCUAACUUUCUAUAUGCCUUAGAUUUUCGCUGCACAAGUCCACUUGCUUUAUCUGCCUUUGGUAAUUCCCUAGAGGUGAUGUUCUAUGCUAUUUCUGAAAACUGCAUUUGUUCCAUCUAAACCUGGCUCAUUGAACUGCAUUUGUUCCCUCUAAAUCUGGAAACCAUUGCUGGCUCACAUUGAGGCACACUCAGAAGUUUGAAUCAACGCUUCAAGGCAACAAGGGGCCAGCCAAGUACAGAGAGGUCAACCUCCCGGUAAGAAGUGAACAAGAGGACGAUGACUCAACCACCCAAGGCCAACAGAGCUCCUCACUCCCUUCAGCUAAGAAAGCGCGACCUCCAGGUAGAAAGCAAUCCAAAGAGAAGCUGAAAAACAAUGAAGAAGAUGACGAGUACAAGGAAAUGAUGCAAAAACUUUUUCUUGCGCUUGUUUCUCCUUGAGCCCUCAAGAAGACCAGCAAUGAUGAAGAGGUCGUCAACAUCAGAUUCAUCCUCGUCAUCCCACCAUGGACGAGCUCUAGUUCCAAGCGUUGAUAUCUGCCAUAUCAACAAAAAAUACAUUAACAAAACAAGAGCAAAGAACUUAUUUUGAUGACAUGACAUACUAGCUCUGAAUUUGCAGUAAGAAACAUCUCCUUGUUCCAACAUUCUGUAUUAUGUGUUUCAGUCAUAGUAAACAUAAACAUGCAGAGCCAGAGCAAUGUGUGGAGACUUGGGACACAAUGUGCAACUUAUACUAGCAAGAAGUCCCCACAACUACAGGAUUCUCUUGAAUUUUCUGAUGUUUACCUACUCUGUAGCAGCCCUGGUUGCAUCAAACAGAGGACUGACUGUGUGGUGCUCAUGCUUUGAAAAUAGGUCUGUCAACGUCAACAACUCUACUAAUAAAUGAUAUCGUAGAUUUCUGCAUUCCUUGACUAUGUAGAGACUUGGGACACAUUCCUUCAUCUGUACUAGUAAAUACAUGCAGAGGCAAGUCAUUUGUGUAUAGUAGAGAUUUGGGACACAUUCUGCAAAAGUGUAUUCAGCAAACAUGUCUCCAGAUCUAAAGGAAUUUUUCUCUGAAAUUUUCAGAUGUGUUAUGCUA